CGGGGCGUGGGUGAGCAGGGCGGGAUGUGAGCGGUUUUAAAAAGUAAAUCUUUACAAAAGCCAUGUUGGUGUUUACAGACGCCGCGGAUAAAUAGAUGUGAAGAGCAGAAACAAAAUAUGUUGCCCUGGCAAAGCAGUUUUGAGGAGACUGGGCACCUGGCUGCUCCGCUGGUUAGAGGAGUGUGCGAGCUGCUUGAAGCAGUUGUUUCGUACGAGGGAGGCGCCUCCGUUCCUGUCUCUUGACUUUGCUUCUUUCUUUAAGCCAGGCAUCCCCUGUAGCUAUCAUCCUUUCUGCAGUAAAAGUGACCAAGUACUACAGGCCACUGCCCCAGCCUUGAAGAGAGAAAAGGGGUAUGAGCGCUGCGAGCGAUCACAGGAAGCAUCACCUAGGCCUCUGACACUUGGGCAGAACUUGCAAAAGUCCUAAAAUCGCUGGAAUAUUUGUCUGCAAACCCCCUGUAGGUGAGCGCUGGAGUCCAAGCCUGACAAGCAAUGUCAAGAAGGACUUCUGUAAGCACAUAAGGAAAAGGAAGACUGGGGAAAAUGUGGUGCUUACUGCUAAAUGGAAGCAGGGACUCUGGUGACAGGGGACACAUGCAAAAGGCUGAGGUACUGAAUGCCUUCUUUGCCUCAGUCUUUGCUUGUGAGAGUGGCCUUUAGGACACCAAGUCCUCAGAGACCAGUGGGAGAGUCUGGAGCAAGAAAACCCCAGGGGAAAGUCUGAAGAAAGGAAGAAUUACCCUUGGUGGAAUACUUAAGAGAAUACUUAAAUAAACUGAACAUACAUAAGUCCACGGGCUGUGGUGGGAUGUACCCAGCCAUGCUGAGGUAGUUACUGACAUACUGAGGGCUGCUCGGAUGAUUAAGGGGCUGGCACAUCUCUCCUGUGAGGAAAAGCUGAGACAGCUGGGGCUGUUGAACUUGGAGAAGAGAAGGCUUGGGGGAUCUCAUCAAUGUGUAUAAAUACCUGAAGGGAAGGUGUAAUGAAGAUGGUGUUCAGUGACAGGACAAGAGGCAAUGGGCAUAAGCUGAACAGGAACUUCUGUCUUAACACAAGAAAAUGCUUUGUGAGGGUAACAGAACACUGACACAGGUUGCACAAAGAAGUUGUGGAAUCUCCAUCUCUGGAAAUAUUCAAAAGUCAUCUGGACGCAGUCCUAGGCAACUGGCUGUGGUGACCCUGCCUGGUCAGGGGUUUGGGCCAGAUAACCUCCAGAGGUCCCUUCCAAUCUUGAUGAUUCUGUGACUCUGAUUCUGUAAUCCUUUCUGGGUACAAACAUACCUGUCUGAAAACAGUUUUCAUGGUUCUUAGCUUAACUAGUUGUUUAAGUCCAAAGGAUAGUUUUAUCUUACUGUUCUCUCUGAGCACUCUUACAAUUGACAACCUCAGGCUGUACAAGGCUUUACACAUUCAGUACCUCCUAUGUAGUCUUCAGACAACUGAAGAAGAAUGGAAUAUUUCAGUCUUCACAGCUUUUUCAUGGCUUUUUCAUGAAAUACAGCAAAAGGAGAAGCACAUAGACAUAAAACUCCAUAACUACUUGUUCAUGAACUUGAAUUGGUUAUAUAGACAUGAAUCUUCAAGAACCUAGAAUAGCAUUCUUUUGUGUAGCUAUUUGAACAUUUGGUUUGUAAUGGUACUGUGUCAAAGCAGUAUGUCUAAUGUAGUUUUUUCUGAUAGACCAGAAAUUAUUUCAGAAGCUGAAACAGAAACAGGUAGGAGCUGGCAUAUCUUACAAGUGUCUAGAAUGGCUGAACAUGUUGAUUAAUCAGAAAAAAACCCCAAGUCUUUAUUCUACUCUUUACUGAAUUAUUUUCCCAGUUUGAACACUUCCUCAUACAGAUAUUACAAGAUUUAACUGUUGAUACCUAGUAAGUCCUCAAGGAGUUUAUGUGGAACACCAAUUAGAGCUAAUUGCUUCUUUGUUAGAACCUGUUGUGGUUUAUCUGAUUUGUGUAUAAACCAUAUAAGCAGUGCAAAGAUACCCAAGAUAGCAUACCAGAUCUGGCAGAUAGGAAUAAAGUUACUUUUUAAAAAUCACCCCAAAACCAAUGAAAUUCUGAGCCUUGCAGUGCUUGAGAAGAUAGGUACUAAAUGAGCAACCGUGGCUGUCACUAGAGGGAGUGUCUGUAACAGUGGAAAAAUAUGCUUGUCAAUUUUUGCUGUGUUUAAAUUAAUAGGAACCUGCAGGGGUGUUUGAAAAAGCACCUGGAAAAAAUAGUCUGCAUUAUACUGCGGAUUUACAAGUGAUUUAUCUUUCCUAUAUGCUUAUUGGGAUCAGAGCAUGAGCCAUGUUGAUUGAUUAAAACUGCCUCUUUUCUCUAUCCUCAAGGCAUACAGUAUUUUGAAUGUCUGUGCUUAGGAUUAUGUUUAUAAUUGUGGAUGUACACACGUUCAUGAUACUUUUAAUACAUUAAUAUUGUUUAGUAUAUGAAAAAGGAACAUGUAUUAAUACACUGCACAGAGUGGAAAGUUGCCAGUCACUCUGAACUGCAAGAUGCCAUCACUUUUCAGAACUGAUAUGGUCAGAACUACUGAUCAUUGUUCUUUUUUACAGCCCACCUUCCAUUUACACUUUCUGGAUUACUACUGCUGCCAAAGAGCAGUUCCCAUGCCAAAGCUUCUAAUACCAAUAUCUACAUGCAUGCUUUUUUUCCUACUAAAUAAAAGGUAAUUCAAGA